rnacentral:rRNA from 1 species
AGACGUAGGGGGCUAGCGUUGCCCGGAUUCACUGGGCGUAAAGCGCGCGUAGGCGGUUCGGCAAGUCGCCCGUGAAAGCCCCUGGCUCAACUGGGGGAGGUCGGGCGAUACUGCCGGGCUAGAGGGCGGCAGAGGGAGGUGGAACGGCCGGAGUAGCGGUGAAAUGCGUAGAUACCGGCCGGAAUCCCGAUGGCGAAGGCAACCUCCUGGGCCGUUCCUGACGCUGAGGCGCGAAAGCUGGGGGAGCGAACCGGAUUAGAAACCCUAGUAGUCC